rnacentral:rRNA from 1 species
UACGGAGGAUCCAAGCGUUAUCCGGAAUUAUUGGGCGUAAAGGGCGCGUAGGCGGCUGUACAAGUCAAAGGUGAAAUCCCUCGGCCCAACCGAGGAACUGCGCCCAGUACUGCGUUGCUUGAGGAUCCAAGGGGUGCAUGGAAUUCCCGGUGGAGCGGUGAAAUGCGUUGAUAUCGGGAGGAACUCCGGCGGCGAAAGCGGUGCACUGGUGGAUUUCUGGACGCUGAGGUGCGAAAGCCAGGG